CCAUGUCCGUGCCCAGGAUUCGAACCAACGAAACACUGGGCCGCCUGCAGUGGAGCACGCGAACUUAACCACUCGGCCACGGGGCCAGCCCGAAAAUAAGACACAAAGCUGAGCCUGAAGAGAGGUGUCUGUAACGUCCUUCUCCUUAGCUGGAAAACCAGCAGAGAUUCCAGGCAUCAAACUGAAAAUUAGUUUUUACAACGCUUCAUUAAAAGUACCAAAAUACAGGGCCAGCCGUGUGGCCUAGUGGUUAAGUUUGGUGCAUUCUGCUUUGGCGGCCUGUGUUUGGUUCCUGGGUGUGGACCUACACUACUUGUCAGUGGCCAUGCUGUGGCAGCGACCCACAUACAAAAAAGAGGAAGACUGGCAACAGAUGUCAGCUCAGGGCGAAUCUUCCUCAGCAAAAACAAACAAACAAACAAAAACCACUCCGCCCAAAAUACCAAGAAUCCUUCUGUUUGGCCUCUGUUGAAAUAAAAAAAAAAAGAAAAAGAACGCCUUAUCAACCAAACUCACCAAAACAACUGAAUUCCUCCCUUGUCAGCUGACUGUGAAGCAGGUUAACAGCGCCAUGGAGGAUAAAGCCAUCAGGCCGAGUAACUGUUUUCGCCUCCUGACUCAGAGCAGCUGAGCACCUGCCCGGUGCAAGGAGACAGCUUCCGUGGAGCCAAAGGCACGCAAGAGGCCACGAACCCGGACAAGACCCCCGUUCUCUGCUGUGGGCGCUAUCCAGGCUCGGGCUGGGGGCAUCAGUCUAGCCCGAGUUGACCAACGAAACAGAUGCCAAGCUCGCUGGGCUCGGAGAAGUUAAUUCCGGCACCAUAAUCAGGCAGCGAGUGCCUUAGUGGGCCGCAGCCAAUAAACUGCAGCUUCUGCAACAGUUGCUGAUGAGUUGAUGUAAAGUUAGACUCUGCAUUUAUUCCACAUGAAAUAAGUGUCUGCAAAGAUGGAAAACAGAAAUACCUUUGCUGUAACAUACAUGCCCAUCUUCCCGGGAACUCAGUGACCGUCUCCGGCUGAAGCUGCCAUCCCCGUGUCCUGGCGCCUGGGCCCCGGGAGCCGUGCGCGGUGGCCGUCCUCCUCUCCAUCGUCUGCCGUCUUGAAGUUUUCAAAGGGCUUUGGUGUCUUCACCUCAUCCGACGCUCACACCUAGGUCGUCAAUCCCAUUAGAACAGCUACAGAAGAGGCGAUGGAAGCAUUUAGCGUGACAAACACCGUUUCCACCAAGUAUUAAUAAAGCGCACGGCAAUUCCUGAAACGUCUCCUCGUCCGCGAGCAGGUCUUUGCUUUAUCUGGCCUUUUUAUUCCACUCUGAAAUGAAACGCUGAAAAGUAAAGUUUCAUAACACUUUCCUAAUCGCUUAAUUUAGAUGCUGGGUUGGCUUAAAACCAUUAACUUCUCACUCGAAGUAUAUUUUUGUUUACAUUUCUUUAUUUUUAUCAGUCACCUUUUAACUGUAGUCAAUUAGAAUAAACAGUUUCAAAUAUA